rnacentral:rRNA from 1 species
GUGGGGAAUAUUGCACAAUGGGCGCAAGCCUGAUGCAGCAACGCCGCGUGAGGGAUGACGGCCUUCGGGUUGUAAACCUCUUUUAGUAGGGAAGAAGCGAAAGUGACGGUACCUGCAGAAAAAGCACCGGCUAACUACGUGCCAGCAGCCGCGGUAAUACGUAGGGUGCAAGCGUUGUCCGGAAUUAUUGGGCGUAAAGAGCUCGUAGGCGGCUUGUCGCGUCUGCUGUGAAAACCCGAGGCUCAACCUCGGGCCUGCAGUGGGUACGGGCAAGCUAGAGUGCGGUAGGGGAGAUUGGAAUUCCUGGUGUAGCGGUGGAAUGCGCAGAUAUCAGGAGGAACACCGAUGGCGAAGGCAGAUCUCUGGGCCGUAACUGACGCUGAGGAGCGAAAGCAUGGGGAGCGAACAGGAUUAGAUACCCCGGUAGUCC